ACUUAACCGGGUUAGGGAUUGAAAUGAAAAUCCUUUUUGUGAAGUACGAACAAAAAGAUUGUAAUGUAAAGCCCGACCACGC
rnacentral:sRNA from 1 species